GAACUGCGAUAAGUAAUGUGAAUUGCAGAAUUCAGUGAAUCAUCGAGUCUUUGAACGCACAUUGCGCCCCCUGGCAUUCCGGGGGGCAUGCCUGUCCGAGCGUCAUUGCUGCCCUUCAAGCCCGGCUUGUGUGUUGGGUCGUCGUCCCCUCCGGGGGACGGGCCCGAAAGGCAGCGGCGGCACCGCGUCCGGUCCUCGAGCGUAUGGGGCUUUGUCACCCGCUCGAUAAGGACCGGCCGGGCGCCAGCCGGCGUCUCCAACCUUUUUUUCUCAGGUUGACCUCGGAUCAGGUAGGGAUACCCGCUGAACUUAGGC
rnacentral:misc_RNA from 1 species